rnacentral:rRNA from 1 species
UACGGGGGGGGCAAGCGUUGUUCGGAAUUACUGGGCGUAAAGGGCUCGUAGGUGGCCGACUAAGUCGGACGUGAAAUCCCUCGGCUUAACCGGGGAACUGCGUCCGAUACUGGUUGGCUUGAGUGUAGGAGAGGGAUGCGGAAUUCCAGGUGUAGCGGUGAAAUGCGUAGAUAUCUGGAGGAACACCGGUGGCGAAGGCGGCAUCCUGGACUACUACUGACGCUGAGGAGCGAAAGCCAGGGGAGCAAACGGG